GAUGAACGCUGACAGCAUGCUUAACACAUGCAAGUCAACCUGAAUUUGGGUUUUUAACUUAGGCUUGGGUGGCGGACGGGUGAGUAACGCGCAAAGAACUUGCCUCACAGCUAGGGACAACAAUCGGAAACGAAUGCUAAUACCUAAUAUUAUGAUAAUAGGGCAUCCUAUAAUUAUGAAAGCUAUAAGCGCUGUGAGAGAGCUUAGCGUCCCACUAGCUAGAUGGAGAGGUAACGGCUCACCAAGGCGAUGAUGGCUAGCCGGCCUGGGAGGGUGAUCGGGCACAAGGGCACAGAGACACGACCCUUACGCAUACGUGAGGCAGCAGUGAAGAAUAUUGGACAAUGGGCCGAGAGUCUGAUCCAGGUAUUCUGUGUGCACAAUGAAGUUUUUCGGAAUGUAAAGUGGUUUCAGUUAGGAAGCAACAAAUGACGGUACCAACAGAAAAAGUGACGGCUAACUACGUG
rnacentral:rRNA from 1 species